rnacentral:rRNA from 1 species
UGGCUGCAGUUAGGAAUAUUCUUCAAUGCGCGAAAGCGUGAAAGAUUGAGCCAGAGUGUUUUUCAAUUGAAAGACUUUUGCCAAGUGUAAAAAGCUUGGCGAAUAAGGACUGGGUAAGACGAGUGCCAGCCGCCGCGGUAAUACUCGCGGUCCAAGUCGCAGCCAUUUUUAUUGGGUCUAAAACAUCCGUAGCUUGCUUGGUAAGUUUCCUGUGAAAUCCGGCUUCUUAAGAGUCGGACGUGCGGGAAGUACUGUCAAGCUAGAGACUGGAAGACGUGAGAAGUAUGUUCAAAGUAGCGGUAAAAUGUGUUAAUCUUGAGCAGACUAACAAUAGCGAAGGCAUCUCACGAGGACAGUUCUGACAGUAAGGGAUGAAGGCUAGGGGCGCAAAACGGAUUAGAUACCCCGGUAGUC